rnacentral:rRNA from 1 species
AACGAACGCUGGCGGCGUGCCUAAUACAUGCAAGUCGAGCGAGAAAGCCUCUUCGGAGGUGAGUAAAGCGGCGCACGGGUGAGUAACACGUGGGCAACCUACCCUUGAGUCUGGGAUAACCCGGGGAAACCCGGGCUAAUACCAGAUACGGCUGCGGGGUCUUCGGACCCUGUGGAGAAAGAUGGCCUCUUCUUGAAAGCUAUCUCUCGAGGAUGGGCCCGCGUCCUAUUAGCUAGUUGGUGAGGUAACGGCUCACCAAGGCAAAGAUGGGUAGCUGGUCUGAGAGGAUGGCCAGCCACACUGGAACUGAGACACGGUCCAGACUCCUACGGGAGGCAGCAGUAGGGAAUUUUGGGCAAUGGGCGAAAGCCUGACCCAGCAACGCCGCGUGUGGGAUGAAGGCCCUCGGGUCGUAAACCACUGUCAGGAGGAAAGAAAAGCUGGCCGGCUAACAUCCGGUCGGCCUGACGGGUACCUCCGAAAGAAGCACCGGCUAACUCCGUGCCAGCAGCCGCAGUAA